UACGUAGGGUGCGAGCGUUGUCCGGAUUUAUUGGGCGUAAGAGCUCGUAGGCGGUCUGUCGCGUCGGAUGUGAAAACCCAGGGCUCAACCCUGGGCCUGCAUUCGAUACGGGCAGACUAGAGUACGGCAGGGGAGACUGGAAUUCCUGGUGUAGCGGUGAAAUGCGCAGAUAUCAGGAGGAACACCGGUGGCGAAGGCGGGUCUCUGGGCCGAAACUGACGCUGAGGAGCGAAAGCGUGGGGAGCGAACAGG
rnacentral:rRNA from 1 species